CGCAGCCGCGGUAAUUCCAGCUCCAAUAGCGUAUAUUAAAGUUGUUGCAGUUAAAAAGCUCGUAGUUGAAUUUCGGGAUCGACGAGUCGGUCGCGCCUCUGGUGUGUACUGGCCCUGUCGGUUUCUCCCUUCUGACGAACUGCGAUGUCAUUAAUUUGGUGUCGUAGGGAAUCAGGACUGUUACUUUGAAAAAUUAGAGUGUUUAAAGCAGGCAUUCGCUUGAAUACAUUAGCAUGGAAUAAUGAAAUAGGACGUUUGAUCUUAUUUUGUUGGUUUCUAAGAUCGACGUAAUGAUUAAUAGGGAUAGUUGGGGGCAUUAGUAUUCAAUUGUCAGAGGUGAAAUUCUUGGAUUUAUUGAAGACUAACUACUGCGAAAGCAUUUGCCAAGGAUGUUUUCAUUAAUCAAGAACGAAAGUUAGGGGAUCGAAGACGAUCAGAUACCGUCGUAGU
rnacentral:rRNA from 1 species